rnacentral:rRNA from 1 species
UACGUAGGGGGCUAGCGUUGCCCGGAAUCAUUGGGCGUAAAGCGUGCGCAGGCGGUGAGUUAAGUCUGAUGUGAAAGCCCCGGGCUCAACCUGGGAAUGGCAUUGGAAACUGGCUCGCUGGAGUGUGGCAGAGGGGGGUGGAAUUCCGCGUGUAGCAGUGAAAUGCGUAGAGAUGCGGAGGAACACCGAUGGCGAAGGCAGCCCCCUGGGCCAACACUGACGCUCAGGCACGAAAGCGUGGGGAGCAAACAGG